rnacentral:tRNA from 2 species
CAUUAAGUAUCUUAAAGGUAAGAAUUGAUUUUUUAAUUCAAAAAUAAUAAAUUAACAUUUAUUCUUAAUGA